UGGCGGACGGGUGAGUAAUGUCUGGGAAACUGCCCGAUGGAGGGGGAUAACUACUGGAAACGGUAGCUAAUACCGCAUAAUGUCUACGGACCAAAGCGGGGGACCUUCGGGCCUCUUGCCAUCGGAUGUGCCCAGAUGGGAUUAGCUAGUAGGUGGGGUAACGGCUCACCUAGGCGACGAUCCCUAGCUGGUCUGAGAGGAUGACCAGCCACACUGGAACUGAGACACGGUCCAG
rnacentral:rRNA from 1 species